UUGACCUCGGAUCAGGUAGGGAUACCCGCUGAACUUAAGCAUAUCAAUAAGCGGAGGAAAAGAAACCAACAGGGAUUGCCCUAGUAACGGCGAGUGAAGCGGCAAGAGCUCAAAUUUGAAAGCUGGCCCCCUCGGGGUCCGCAUUGUAAUUUGCAGAGGAUGCUUCGGGAGCGGUCCCCAUCUA
rnacentral:rRNA from 1 species